GAUGAACGCUGGCGGCGUGCUUAACACAUGCAAGUCGAACGGUGAAGGCGGAGCUUGCUCUGCUGGAUCAGUGGCGAACGGGUGAGUAACACGUGAGCAAUCUGCCCCUGACUCUGGGAUGAGCGCUGGAAACGGCGUCUAAUACUGGAUACGAGCUGCGAAGGCAUCUUCAGCAGCUGGAAAGAACUUCGGUCAGGGAUGAGCUCGCGGCCUAUCAGCUUGUUGGUGAGGUAACGGCUCACCAAGGCGUCGACGGGUAGCCGGCCUGAGAGGGUGACCGGCCACACUGGGACUGAGACACGGCCCAGACUCCUACGGGAGGCAGCAGUGGGGAAUAUUGCACAAUGGGCGAAAGCGUGAUGCAGCAACGCCGCGUGAGGGACGACGGCCUUCGGGUUGUAAACCUCUUUUAGCAGGGAAGAAGCGAAAGUGACGGUACCUGCAGAAAAAGCGCCGGCUAACUACGUG
rnacentral:rRNA from 1 species